GAAAUGCGAUAAGUAAUGUGAAUUGCAGAAUUCAGUGAAUCAUCGAAUCUUUGAACGCACAUUGCGCCCGCCAGUAUUCUGGCGGGCAUGCCUGUUCGAGCGUCAUUUUAACCAUCAAGCCCCCGGCUUGUGUUGGGGACCUGCGGCUGCCCGCAGGCCCUGAAAAACAGUGGCGGGCUCGCUGUCACACCGAGCGUAGUAGCAUACAUUCUCGCUCAGGGCGUGCUGCGGGUUCCGGCCGUUAAACGACCUUCAUAACCCAAGGUUGACCUCGGAUCAGGUAGGAAGACCCGCUGAACUUAAGC
rnacentral:misc_RNA from 1 species